rnacentral:rRNA from 1 species
ACGGAAGGCAGCAGUGGGGAAUAUUGGGCAAUGGACGCAAGUCUGACCCAGCAACGCCGCGUGAAGGAAGAGGGUCUUCGGAUUGUAAACUUUUGUCUUAUGGGACGAUAAUGACGGUACCAUAGGAGGAAGCCACGACUAACUACGUGCCAGCAGUCGCGGUAAUACGUAGGUGGCGAGCGUUAUCCGGAAUCAUUGGGUGUAAAGGGUGCGUAGGCGGGAUGUAAAGUCAGAUGUGAAAUACCGGGGCUCAACUGCGGGGCUGCAUUUGAAACUUACGUUCUUGAGUGAAGUAGAGGUAAGUGGAAUUCCUAGUGUAGCGGUGAAAUGCGUAGAUAUUAGGAGGAACACCGGUGGCGAAGGCGGCUUACUGGGCUUUUACUGACGCUGAGGCACGAAAGUGUGGGUAGCAAACAGGAUUAGAUACCCUGGUA